rnacentral:rRNA from 1 species
GAUGGACGCUGACAGAAUGCUUAACACAUGCAAGUCGAUGGGGAAGUGGUGCUUGCACCAUGGCAACCAUGGCGGACGGGUGAGUAACGCGUAAGGGACUUACCUGCAGGACUGGGAUAACAGGGGGAAACUCCUGACAAGACCGGAUAAUGUCAUGGAGCUGCAUGGCUUUAUGAUGAAAGGAGACGCCUGCGGAGAGCCUUGCGUCCUAUUAGCUAGUUGGUGAGGUAAUGGCUCACCAAGGCGAAGAUAGGUAGCCGGCCUGAGAGGGUGGACGGCCACAAGGGGACUGAGAUACGGCCCUUACUCCUACGGGAGGCAGCAGUGGGGAAUAUUGGACAAUGGGGGCAACCCUGAUCCAGCAAUUCUGUGUGCACGAAGAAGGUUUUCGGAUUGUAAAGUGCUUUCAGCAGGGAAGAAGUAAGUGACGGUACCUGCAGAAGAAGCGACGGCUAAAUACGUG